rnacentral:rRNA from 1 species
AGGAAUACAUCGGAAUCUGCCUUGUUGUGGGGGAUAACGUAGGGAAACUUACGCUAAUACCGCAUAAGACCUCAGGGUGAAAGCGGAGGACCUUCGGGCUUCGCGCGACAAGAUGAGCCGAUGUCGGAUUAGCUAGUUGGCGGGGUAAUGGCCCACCAAGGCGACGAUCCGUAGCUGGUCUGAGAGGAUGAUCAGCCACACUGGAACUGAGACACGGUCCAG